rnacentral:rRNA from 1 species
UAGGGAAUCUUCGGCAAUGGACGGAAGUCUGACCGAGCAACGCCGCGUGAGUGAAGAAGGUUUUCGGAUCGUAAAGCUCUGUUGUUAGAGAAGAACGAUGGUAGGAGUGGAAAAUCUACCAAGUGACGGUAACUAACCAGAAAGGGACGGCUAACUACGUGCCAGCAGCCGCGGUAAUACGUAGGGCCCGAGCGUUGUCCGGAACUAUUGGGCUUAAAGCGAGCGCAGGCGGUUCUUUAAGUCUGAAGUUAAAGGCAGUGGCUUAACCAUUGUACGCUUUAGAAACUAGAGGACUUGAGUGGAGAAGGGGAGAGUAGAAUUCCAUGUGUAGCGGUAAAAUGCGUAUAUAUAUGGAGAAACACCGGUGGCGAAAGCGACUCUCUGGUCUGUAACUGACGCUGAGGCUCGAAAGCGUGGGGAGCAAACAGG